rnacentral:rRNA from 1 species
GAUGAACGCUGGCGGCGUGCCUAAUACAUGCAAGUCGAGCGAACAGACGAGGAGCUUGCUCCUCUGACGUUAGCGGCGGACGGGUGAGUAACACGUGGAUAACCUACCUAUAAGACUGGGAUAACUUCGGGAAACCGGAGCUAAUACCGGAUAAUAUAUUGAACCGCAUGGUUCAAUAGUGAAAGACGGUUUUGCUGUCACUUAUAGAUGGAUCCGCGCCGCAUUAGCUAGUUGGUAAGGUAACGGCUUACCAAGGCAACGAUGCGUAGCCGACCUGAGAGGGUGGUCGGCCACACUGGAACUGAGACACGGUCCAGACUCCUACGGGAGGCAGCAGUAGGGAAUCUUCCGCAAUGGGCGGAAGCUUGACGGAGCAACGCCGCGUGAGUGAUGAAGGUCUUCGGAUCGUAAAACUCUGUUAUUAGGGAAGAACAAAUGUGUAAGUAACUAUGCACGUCUUGACGGUACCUAAUCAGAAAGCCACGGCUAACUACGUG